AUGAACGCUGGCGGCGUGCCUAAUCCAUGCAAGUCGAGCGAACAGACGAGGAGCUUGCUCCUCUGACGUUAGCGGCGGACGGGUGAGUAACACGUGGAUAACCUACCUAUAAGACUGGGAUAACUUCGGGAAACCGGAGCUAAUACCGGAUAAUAUAUUGAACCGCAUGGUUCAAUAGUGAAAGACGGUUUUGCUGUCACUUAUAGAUGGAUCCGCGCCGCAUUAGCUAGUUGGUAAGGUAACGGCUUACCAAGGCAACGAUGCGUAGCCGACCUGAGAGGGUGAUCGGCCACACUGGAACUGAGACACGGUCCAGACUCCUACGGGAGGCAGCAGUAGGGAAUCUUCCGCAAUGGGCGAAAGCCUGACGGAGCAACGCCGCGUGAGUGAUGAAGGUCCUCGGAUCGUAAAACUCUGUUAUUAGGGAAGAACAAAUGUGUAAGUAACUAUGCACGUCUUGACGGUACCUAAUCAGAAAGCCACGGCUAACUACGUG
rnacentral:rRNA from 1 species